CCAGACGGUCGGGUGAUCGCCUGACAUCUGAAAUAAUGACAUUAUUCCAAUAUGUUAAUGAAAUGUCUUUGUUUCAGAUGUCAGGAGGAAAGUCCGGGCUUCAGGGGAAAAAGGCGCCGGAUAACGUCCGGUUGGGGCGACCCAAAGGAAAGUGCCACAGAAAACAAACUACCCGUUUCUUUCGGGAAACGGGAAAAGGUGAAAAGGUGCGGUAAGAGCGCACCGCGUCCCCGGCAACGGGGGCGGCAUGGAAAACCCCGCCUGAAGCAAAACCGAAUAGGAGCCACACAGCGCAGACUUGGGUUUCGGCCCAUAAGUGCGCGGCGCGUUCCCCGCGCGUGGCUCGGGUAGGUUGCACGAGGCGUUCGGCAACGAACGUCCCAGAUGAAUGAUCAUCCAUCGCGCGCAAGCGCGAGGACAGAACCCGGCUUACAGACCGUCUGGCUUU
rnacentral:RNase_P_RNA from 1 species